UACGUAGGGGGCAAGCGUUGUCCGGAAUUAUUGGGCGUAAAGAGCGCGUAGGCGGUCCGAUAAGUCGGCUGUGAAAGUCAAGGGCUCAACCCUUGAAAGCCGGCCGAUACUGUCGGACUAGAGUCCGGAAGAGGAGAGUGGAAUUCCUGGUGUAGCGGUGAAAUGCGCAGAUAUCAGGAAGAACACCUAUGGCGAAGGCAGCUCUCUGGGACGGUACUGACGCUGAGACGCGAAAGCGUGGGGAGCGAACAGG
rnacentral:rRNA from 1 species